GGCAGAUGUGCUGCGGCUCUGCUACGGGCGGCUCUGUCGCCUUCAGUCGCAGGCUGGUUCUUUGGGGGAAAGUUGUAUCCAAUAUUGGUGACUCCCGGGAAUAGUCUGUUUGUGUGCUACUUAAUGGUCUCUAGGCUUCCUUGUCUUGUAGAACCUUGUUAGAAAGGAGCCUUGGUGAUUAAGAGGCUAUGGAGUACACAGCCUUGCUUAGCAGAUGAGCCCUUAUCCAUUUCCCGUUUCCUUAAAAACGGCUAAUUGAUGGAUGCUGCAGAAAACAUGCACUCUGCUAAUAAGAUGCUGAUGACAAAAUAGGUAUCAGGAAAGGCAUUUACUGCUUAUGAGCACCAUCAGCUUUCUUUCGAGUGAGAUUGUGGCUUUGUAGUAAAGUUUUUUUUUAAGUAAUAUGCUAAUAGUUUUAUUCUAAAUCGGCCAGCGCUGAAUAUCUUCAGGAAAAUGGGUUCCAUGAGAAGUGACAUCCUCCUCGAAUCAAAAGAUUCUCAGGAUGAUGGAGUGAGUGAUGGAAUAGGUUGCCAACUGUAGUUACUCCACUCAGCACAGAAUGGCUGCGGGGAAAUAUAAUCAGACAUGCCCAAAGAAGUCUGCUUAGGGUGAAACAAAUACCUUUGAGGUUUAAAUCAGCAUUCCAUCCGUGCAGGCAGAUGGUGUUCCUAGGUUUGGAAAUAUAAAUCCCAUGGGAAGUCAGCUGAAGACCAUUUUAUGCAUCACUCAUCCUGUUAGAGCCCUGUGCUGUUCUGUCUCUCUAUAAGACUGGCUGAAACCACCACGGUUGUUUACAAUUUAUGCUCUAACUUUGGAUCACCUAGUUAAUACUCUAACUCCGAUUAUUACCAAAGACAAUGUUCUAUAAAAGAUAUUGUCUAUUAGAAGGAUGCUUCUGCAUUAUUAAUAAAAUCACAGGGAAAAUGCAACAUUUUGGAUGUCACAUCUGAUAAGUGGGUGACUGAUCGUACCCGCCAGCUGGCUAAUGUCAUAAUUAACAAAGUUGCUACUACAUCUGCAAAGUUUAAUCGAAAAAUUUGCCAGUGAUAUGAUGGCCUUGUCACAGAGAUCACAAGGGACACGGAGUUGACUUUUGCUCAAGGUGGAACGACAGAGCUGUGUAGGCAAGAUGAGAAAUUGCGAACUUGUUCGGCCAAAGGAGGCUAAUAAUGAAGGGGCCGGGAAGGAGGCCAGUGCUACCAGGGUUAUCUCACAACCUCAGAUGCUGGAUAAGUCGACGGAGGCAGAAUCGCUUUGGGAUGACAUUCAGAAAGCCUGGAGUGAUUACUUGCAAGAGAAAAGCCUACCUAUUCUUUCCAAGGUGCAGGAAUAUUCCCCUGACCUGCUCAUCCAGUGGUCCAGUAAUGAAUUACUGGAGACCUGCCUUAGACAAAGAAUGCACUCGGAGCCCCAACACACCUAAAGCCAUGCUUUGAAGGAUCUGCCAAGCUCACUUUUAAUCAUGAGAAAGAAA
rnacentral:lncRNA from 1 species